rnacentral:rRNA from 1 species
GACGAACGCUGGCGGCGUGCUUAACACAUGCAAGUCGAACGGAAAGGCCCUGCUUUUGUGGGGUGCUCGAGUGGCGAACGGGUGCGUAACACGUGAGUAACCUGCCCUUGACUUUGGGAUAACUUCAGGAAACUGGGGCUAAUACCGGAUAGGAGCUCCUGCUGCAUGGUGGGGGUUGGAAAGUUUCGGCGGUUGGGGAUGGACUCGCGGCUUAUCAGCUUGUUGGUGGGGUAGUGGCUUACCAAGGCGUUGACGGGUAGCCGGCCUGAGAGGGUGACCGGCCACAUUGGGACUGAGGUACGGCCCAGACUCCAACGGGAGGCAGCAGUGGGGAAUAUUGCACAAUGGGCGGAAGCCUGAUGCAGCAACGCCGCGUGCGGGAUGACGGCCUUCGGGUUGUAAACCGCUUUCGCCUGUGACGAAGCGUGAGUGACGGUAAUGGGUAAAGAAGCACCGGCUAACUACGUG